rnacentral:rRNA from 1 species
CUCCGUGCCAGCAGCCGCGGUAAUACGGAGGGUGCAAGCGUUAAUCGGAAUUACUGGGCGUAAAGCGCACGCAGGCGGUUUGUUAAGUCAGAUGUGAAAUCCCCGGGCUCAACCUGGGAACUGCAUCUGAUACUGGCAAGCUUGAGUCUCGUAGAGGGGGGUAGAAUUCCAGGUGUAGCGGUGAAAUGCGUAGAGAUCUGGAGGAAUACCGGUGGCGAAGGCGGCCCCCUGGACGAAGACUGACGCUCAGGUGCGAAAGCGUGGGGAGCA